CAAUUUUACUCCGCUGUGUGCUCCUAGAUCUGUCUAUAAGCAUCCCGAUGUGACUGUAAACUCUCCUUUCUUUAUGCAAACGGAAAGAAGAAAAGCGAAUCGAUCAUUUCCACUUAUCUUGACAGAGAAAACGUACAGGAGCUGAAACGUUAGGUCCAGCUCUGCCAGUCUUCCCUGACAGUUUUGUUUCAUUUUCAAGACUGCCUUAUUUGGCACUUUGGGGACUGUCUGUAAAGGUUGUUUUGGAGUCAAGGAGUUUCUAACAGCAUGGCAGCCCAUCGAGUCCGCGCCAGUCAUCAAACAAUCUAACAGAUAUUGCUGGAGAAACUCAGCAGAUCUGGCAGCACCUGUGGAGAGACAAAUAGUGGACAUGUCGAGUCCAGCUACCCUUCUACAGAACUCAAUUCUCCAGCGAUUCUGUUUGUAUCAUCAAUUCUUUGUUUUGUCAAACAUUCCUUCCUCAUUUUCCAGCAUUCAGCCUCUAGCCUUGUAGAUUUUUUUUGAUCAACCUGUUCAGAUGUUUUGCAGCUGGCACUUGAAACCGGCCUUCUGGUGAAGUUCCCUACCAACCAUAAUGGGAAGAAGAUCUGAGGUUUACUAUUUCAUUUCACCUUUUCUUCACUCCACAGAAACAGGUGAUAAACUCCAGGCAUAAGAUCUGAAAAAUGAAAGAGUAACAAUUGUUUCAUUGUGCAGCUGGAUGAUCAAUCCUAGGAGAGCAAAUUAAUUGAGGCUUCGUGUGUUAUAGACCAGAUCACACCCCCUCUCAAAAUAUAUCAAGGAGAAAAGCCUCUUCCUGUUUACCCUAAUCAAGCAGCAGAGACAGAAUUCAACUUUUUAUUUCCGUGCAGCAGAGAGAGGGAUGUAUCUAUCAGCGUCAACAGUCAACUCCAAAUUCCAACUGAUAGCAAAACUAAAACCUUUGGUCUGUGGGAGCCUGACUCCACCUACUCAUGCUUCUUCUGUCUCAGUAAACAAAUCAUUUAGGGAGCUCAAAGCUGUUUACCCACUGCUUCUAAAGUAUAUAUUCAUGCACCACCAUGGCCACCCCUCCCCCCUCUCCAAGAGAAACAGCACAGAACAAAUCUCUCUUAAAGGCACAGUGCCAUCACAUUUGACAGGAGUGGAAAGAGAGAAAUUUGAUUUUGUAACCAACAAAUAUUGGUGAUUCUGUUUUCUAAAACUACCAAAUUCUUCAGUGGACCAAAAGGAAUACAGGCCUGCAUUAUUUUCAAAU